CUUUUGCCCUCAUUGCCGUGUUACAGUUUGGUGACUUCGGCGGCGAGAGGUUUGUGUGCGGCCCGUUUGCCUGGUUCCUGUCUCUGCAGCUCCAUCACCAGCUCCACCUCGGCCAGGCGUAGGAAGGUGAACAGCUUCAGAUACCUGCAGGCAGCACAACCAACCCCGUCUCCAACAUCACCAUGGAUAGGCUAAACUCAGGUACUAAUAUCAGGUCCUGGGGUUCCCAUUUUCAGCCAUCUAGCGUGAACAACACUAACAAGUGUCUGUGCUAUUCAUAAACAACCCGCCUAAUAAACACAUGAUGCUGCAACAGCACAGUCUACCCUCACAGUCUACCCCAAAGUGUCUCAUAGUAGGUUAGCCGCGCACAUUUACAAAGAAAGAUAACCUAAAACGCUCCCCUUGUCUGUCAUAAACAAUGACAGGACGGUGUGUGGCAAGCAAAAUGUGUUUGCCUGUGCAUGCAUGCUGACCGAAGUGCUUGCAACGCCAGGAUUGUGGGUUCGAUUCCCAUAUGGGACCAGUAUUAAAGAGUAUGAAAAUGCACGCACUCUAUUGUAAGUGGCUCUGGAUAAGAGCGUCUGCUAAAUGACGUGAAAGUGAUAUCAAUUUAUUCAGCAGUGCUGGGCUCUCAGGUAAAUAAUACUUUCUGGGUUCUGAAGUCAGGUAAAUAAUACUUUCUGGGCUCUAAAGUCAGGUAAAUAAUACUUUCUGGGCUCUAAAGUCAGGUAAAUAAUACUUUCUGGGCUCUAAAGUCAGGUAAAUAAUACUUUCUGGGCUCUAAAGUCAGGUAAAUAAUACUUUCUGGGCUCUAAAGUCAGGUAAAUAAUACUUUCUGGGUUCUAAAGUCAGGUAAAUAAUACUUUCUGGGCUCUAAAGUCAGGUAAAUAAUACUUUCUGGGCUCUAAAGUCAGGUAAAUAAUACUUUCUGGGCUCUAAAGUCAGGUAAAUAAUACUUUCUGGGUUCUAAAGUCAGGUAAAUAAUACUUUCUUGUGGAUAAUUUGUCACCAAAUUCUACCCACUGAAGAACCAAACACACAGACAAACUGUUAGACUGUAAUGUAAUUCUAUUGAACAGUCUGGCUUGUUAAGGAAACUUUCCACUACUUCGUUUCAGGCUGUACACCAGAAAAUUAUACCACAGUCUGAUUUAUCAGCCUAAGAGGUGUGCGGAUCGAGUUGGCCUUUUAAAUCAUAGAGGGGGAGAGCUGACCCUAGAUCAGCAGCAGGUAUCCUCGAGGUUAGAGCAUUGGACCAGUAACAGAAAGGUCGCUGGUUCGAAUAUCGGAGCCAAAAAAUCUAACGCUAUGUCCUUAAGCCAAGCACUUAAUCCUGUAGGGAAUCUGAUUUCAUUGGUCCUCAACUUGCGGAAAAGUAAUUUUAUUCAGGUUAAGCGGAGUUGGCCUGCCCCGGAGCAGGUUAGUUCUAAAGGAUUUGUUGCCAUAUAAAUUUUGCUGGCUAAAAGGUGAGUCACUUUCGUAUGACCGGAUAUCCCGAAUUGUACA